GCGGCAGUUACGCAGAUUGCGUAAGCGAAAGGCUUUCCGUAUGCUGAGAGUGCGGGCGCCGUGCCGGUGGUAACGCUAAUAGCGUAAGUCAGGUGAGGGGAGCUGUGUGCGAACGGAGGACGGAGGAGCGGAGACAAGGGACAGGAUUAUGUUGGGAACCAUACACCUUCAUUCACAGAACAACUUUUGCUGUGCUAGAAGUUCAGCAGCAGAAAGAAGACCUGUCAUUUCUGCACAGAAGGUUUCUACAGGAUCCAGAUGACAGACGUGGGACA